rnacentral:rRNA from 12 species
CACCAGGUUGAUUCUGCCUGACGUAGAUGCUAGCCUCCGAGGCUAAGCCAUGCAUGCCCGUGACGCAAGGAACGGCGAACGGCUCAGUAAUACUGCGAUGAUCUGCUCCGCGCGGACGAUAACUACGGGAAACUGUGGCUAAGAGCGCGGAUUGAGACGCAGCCCUAUCAGCAAGUUGGUAGUGUAACGGACUACCAAGGCGGCGACGGGUGACGGGAAAUCAGGGUUUGAUUCCGGAGAGGGAGCCUGAGAGAUGGCUCCCACGUCCAAGGACGGCAGCAGGCGCGAAAAUUGCCCACUCUCUUGCGAGGAGGCGGUUACGAGGCGUGACGGAAGGGCGCACUGUAAAGACGUGCGCGAACGCGAUUGGAGGGCAAGUUCGGUGCCAGCAGCCGCGGUAAUACCGACUCCAAGAGUGUCUAUGGUGGAUGCUGCAGUUAAAAAGUCCGUAGUCGGCACUGCGACGAAAGCGCGCUGCUCGAUGGCGCAGGCGUUGCAGGGGCUUGCGGAGCGGGCGGGGGGCACGGUAUAGGCAGGCGAGAGAUGAAAUGGCCAAGACCCUGCCUGGACCGACGGUGGCGAAGGCGGUGCCCUCGCACGCAUCUGUGGAUCAAGGACGAAGGCCGGAGGAUCGAAAGUGAUUAGAGACCGCUGUAGUUCCGGCAGUAAACGAUGCCGACACCGCGCGGCGGGGCUGCGCGGGGGGAGAAACCUUAGUGUUCGGGCUCUGGGGAUAGUAUGCUCGCAAGUGUGAAAAUUAAACGAAAUUGACGGAGCUACACCACAAGGAGUGGAUUGUGCGGCUUAAUUUGACUCAACGCGGGGCACCUUACCAGGGCCACGCGCGCCUGAGACCGCAUGCGCGAGGCGCGCAGGAGUGGUGCAUGGUCGUUGCAAAUUGGUGGGGCGACUUUUGGCUUAAAUGCCGGAACGAGUGAGAUCUCCGAGACGGGUGCGCGCAGCACAGGAGGGUGGAGGCGAUAACAGAUCAGUGAUGCCCUUAGAUGCCCUGGGCUGCACGCGCAAUACAAUCCCCGCGCGCUGCACAGAACGGUCGCGGGGGUGUGGGACCGGCGCCUGUAAGGGCGCCGCGAACGAGGAAUUCCUAGUAACGGCGGCUCACCAAGCCGCGGUGAAUGUGUCCCUGUAGCUUGUACACACCGCCCGUCACUAUCUCAGAUGGCCGUGUCGGUGAAGGGAGCAAUCUCUGUGCCUCCGCGGCUAGAUAAGAUGUAAGUCGUAACAAGGUUGCGGUCGGUGAACCAGCAGCAGGAUCAUAA